rnacentral:rRNA from 1 species
UACGAAGGGGCUAGCGUUGCUCGGAAUUACUGGGCGUAAAGGGCGCGUAGGCGGCACUGUUAGUCAGGCGUGAAAGUCCUGGGCUCAACCUGGGAACUGCGUUUGAUACGGCAGAGCUAGAGGAUGGAAGAGGCUCGCGGAAUUCCCAGUGUAGAGGUGAAAUUCGUAGAUAUUGGAAGAACACCGGUGGCGAAGGCGGCGAGCUGGUCCAUUACUGACGCUGAGGC